GUUUUUUCAUUCGUGUCCGAAAACUCCUUUUGAUAUCUGGUCAAACAUUCGAUGUGACAUCUAAAAAUUUUCUUUUCGCGAACUAAGGGCCUGUUUAGUUCGCGAAAAGAAAAUUUUUGGGUGUCACAUCGGACGUUUAACCGGAUGUCGGAAAAGGUUUUCAGACACGAAUAAAAAAAC
rnacentral:ncRNA from 2 species